GACGAACGCUGGCGGCGUGCUUAACACAUGCAAGUCGAACGGAAAGGCCCUGCUCUUGCGGGUUGCUCGAGUGGCGAACGGGUGAGUAACACGCGUGUAACCCGUACCUGUCUUUCUGAUAUCUCUAGGAAACUCGGGCUCAUACCGGAUAUGAGCUCUUGCUGCAUGGUGGGGGAUGGUAAGAUUCGGCGGUUGGGGAUGUACUCGCGGGUUAUCAGCUAGUUAGUGUGGUAGUGGCUUACCAAGGCUUUGACGGGUAGCCCGCCUGAGAGGGUUACCGGGCACAUUGGGACUGAGGUACGGACCAGAAGGCAACGGGAGGCAGCGGUGGGGAGUAUUGCGCAGUGAGGGGGAGCGUGAUACGGAGGCGCCGCGUGCGGAAUAACGGCCUUCGAGUUAUAAACAACUUUCGAAGGUGACGAGGCGUGCGUGACGGUAAUGAGUAAGGAAGCACCGGCUAACUACGUG
rnacentral:rRNA from 1 species